rnacentral:rRNA from 1 species
CCUACGGGUGGCAGCAGUGGGGAAUAUUGCGCAAUGGGCGAAAGCCUGAUGCAGCGACGCCGCGUGAGGGAUGAAGGUCUUCGGAUCGUAAACCUCUGUCAGCAGGGAAGAACGGUCACUGUGCUAAUCAGCAGUGAAUUGACGGUACCUGCAAAGGAAGCACCGGCUAACUCCGUGACAGCAGCCGCGGUAAGACGGAGGGUGCGAGCGUUAAGCGGAAUUACUGGGCGUAAAGCGCUCGUAGGCGGUAUGUCAAGUCAAGGGUGAAAUCCCCGCGCUCAACGUGGGAACGGCCUUUGAAACUGGCAAACUGGAGUGUGUGAGAGGAUAGUGGAAUUCCAGGUGUAGGGGUGAAAUCCGUAGAUAUCUGGAGGAACAUCAGUGGCGAAGGCGACUAUCUGGCACAUAACUGACGCUGAGGAGCGAAAGCGUGGGUAGCAAACAGGAUUAGAUACCCUGGUAGUC